CACGUAGGCAGCGAGCGUUGUUCGGAGUUACUGGGCGUAAAGAGUGCGUAGGCGGUUUUCUAAGUUUGGUGUGAAAUCUCCCGGCUUAACUGGGAGGGUGCGCCGAAGACUGGAAGGCUUGAGUAUGGGAGAGGUAAGCGGAAUUCCUGGUGUAGCGGUGAAAUGCGUAGAUAUCGGGAAGAAUACCGGUGGCGAAGGCGUUCCGCUGGGCCGUUGCUGACGCUGAGGCGCGACAGCGUGGGGAGCAAACAGG
rnacentral:rRNA from 1 species